rnacentral:rRNA from 1 species
UACGUAGGGUGCGAGCGUUGUUCGGAUUUACUGGGCGUAAAGGGCGGGUAGGCGGCCACCGCAAGUCAGUUGUGAAAUCUCCGGGCUUAACCCGGAAAGGUCAACUGAUACUGCGGGGCUAGAGUGCAGAAGGGGCAACUGGAAUUCUCGGUGUAGCGGUGAAAUGCGUAGAUAUCGAGAGGAACACCUGCGGCGAAGGCGGGUUGCUGGGCUGACACUGACGCUGAACUGCGAAAGCUAGGGGAGCGAACGGG